AUUGAACGCUGGCGGCAGGCCUAACACAUGCAAGUCGAGCGGAUGAGUGGAGCUUGCUCCAUGAUUCAGCGGCGGACGGGUGAGUAAUGCCUAGGAAUCUGCCUGGUAGUGGGGGACAACGUUUCGAAAGGAACGCUAAUACCGCAUACGUCCUACGGGAGAAAGUGGGGGAUCUUCGGACCUCACACUAUCAGAUGAGCCUAGGUCGGAUUAGCUAGUUGGUGAGGUAAAGGCUCACCAAGGCGACGAUCCGUAACUGGUCUGAGAGGAUGAUCAGUCACACUGGAACUGAGACACGGUCCAGACUCCUACGGGAGGCAGCAGUGGGGAAUAUUGGACAAUGGGCGAAAGCCUGAUCCAGCCAUGCCGCGUGUGUGAAGAAGGUCUUCGGAUUGUAAAGCACUUUAAGUUGGGAGGAAGGGCAGUAAGUUAAUACCUUGCUGUUUUGACGUUACCAACAGAAUAAGCACCGGCUAACUUCGUGCCAGCCGCCGCAGUAACAC
rnacentral:rRNA from 1 species